GACGAACGCUGGCGGCGUGCCUAAUACAUGCAAGUUGAGCGCUGAAGGUUGGUACUUGUACCAACUGGAUGAGCAGCGAACGGGUGAGUAACGCGUGGGGAAUCUGCCUUUGAGCGGGGGACAACAUUUGGAAACGAAUGCUAAUACCGCAUAAAAACUUUAAACACAAGUUUUAAGUUUGAAAGAUGCAAUUGCAUCACUCAAAGAUGAUCCCGCGUUGUAUUAGCUAGUUGGUGAGGUAAAGGCUCACCAAGGCGAUGAUACAUAGCCGACCUGAGAGGGUGAUCGGCAACAUUGGGACUGAGACACGCCCCAAACUCCUACGGGAGGCAGCAGUAGGGAAUCUUCGGCAAUGGACGAAAGUCUGACCGAGCAACGCCGCGUGAGUGAAGAAGGUUUUCGGAUCGUAAAACUCUGUUGGUAGGGAAGAACGUUGGUGAGAGUGAAAAGCCCAUCAAGUGAGGUAACUACCCAGAAAGGGACGGCUAACUACGUG
rnacentral:rRNA from 1 species